AUCCCAUGGUGGGGACAUUGUCUAAGAAACUCUUUAAAUCUUUCCCAAGAAUCAAAUAAGGAUUCAUCAUCUCAUUGUUUAAAUGAAGUAAUCUCGUUUCUCAUAUU